UGCAGCUUUGAAGGCUCUCAAACUGAAAUUAAUAACAAAAGAUAAAUGGCUCACAUUUAUGCUUACAAGAUCAGGGUUAAUAAUCUGCAGGGACAGUAUGCUUAAAUGCAACCUGAAAUAAGUGAUUAAAUAGCUGCGCUGGAAAAUCUGGAGUACUGAGUAAUUCUCUAAUUCUGAAGCAUUUCUAUUCCAAUAGAUCACUGUUUGAACCACAGAAGGGAAAAUACUCAAAGAAUGGGAAAAGAAUGACAGGACAUUUUGAGAGAAAAGCACACUUCGCAGCCUAACUUGAGGUAACUCUUCCAGAAGCUGUUUCUUCCUCAAAAGGUUACCUAAACAGUAUCAAAUAAGCUGCUAUUUAACUGCAGAGUGACAGGAUUGUUUAUUUAUUUGCUUCUCUCAAAAGCUUUGUAUGGCCUUAACAUAUUCUCCUUUAGAAACUUCUGAGAACUCCCGAUCCUAGUUUUCACUCAUCAGUAUCUUUUUUUUACUGAUUCUUAAUUUGUGUAACUCUGGCCUUGACAGGGGCAUUCAGUACACCAUGUUGUUGCAUUUUCCCUUUUGAAAGAUUUCAGCCAGUCUUUUGACUCUUCUUUCCAGCCAUGGUUGAUGUCUCUUUUCAUUGCCUGAGAAGUCUACAAUAGCACUGAACUGGGUCCAGAUAAACUCUUGAAGACUGGAAAAUUCAUUAUCCUAGGAGAAAGGGGUGCCAAACCAACACUGGUGAGUCUUGAACUUAUUUAUGAAAAAUGAGAUAGAACCAAAUAAAGGUCUUUAAAAGAAA